rnacentral:rRNA from 1 species
GACGAACGCUGGCGGCGUGCUUAACACAUGCAAGUCGAACGGAAAGGCCCUGCUUUUGUGGGGUGCUCGAGUGGCGAACGGGUGAGUAACACGUGAGUAACCUGCCCUUGACUUUGGGAUAACUUCAAGAAACUGAGGCUAAUACCGGAUAGGAGCUCCUGCUGCAUGGUGGGGGUUGGAAAGUUUCGGCGGUUGGGGAUGGACUCGCGGCUUAUCAGCUUGUUGGUGGGGUAGUGGCUUACCAAGGCUUUGACGGGUAGCCGGCCUGAGAGGGUGACCGGCCACAUUGGGACUGAGAUACGGCCCAGACUCCUACGGGAGGCAGCAGUGGGGAAUAUUGCACAAUGGGCGGAAGCCUGAUGCAGCAACGCCGCGUGCGGGAUGACGGCCUUCGGGUUGUAAACCGCUUUCGCCUGUGACGAAGCGUGAGUGACGGUAAUGGGUAAAGAAGCACCGGCUAACUACGUG